rnacentral:lncRNA from 1 species
GACCGACACCAAAGCCCAUGGCUGAUCCGAUCUUGGCGGUGCCAAGGCCUUUCGACUAGCCGACCCCUGGCAGCACCGGAACCUACCGACAAAGUUGAUCCCAAGCUGCACCAGGCCCAAUCUACCUAUUCACCCCUGCGUGGUGCCAAGGCUUACCUGCUGAAGCUAGCCACCGUUCCCCCAGCUGGUGCUAGAGGAAGGGGCCCUCCUACAGACCCAGCUC